rnacentral:rRNA from 1 species
UUAAGUAAGGAAGGGCGUACGGCGAAUGCCUUGCCACUCGAAACUGAAGAAGGACGCGCCAAACUGCGAAAAGCUCCGUGAAGCUGUAAGGAAGCGAAGAAGCGGAGGUGUCCGAAUGGGGGAACCCGGCAGCAGACAUGAGCUGUCAUCUGCAGGUGAAUACAUGGCUUGCAAGAGAGGUACCCGGCGAACUGAAACAUCUAAGUAGCCGGAGGAAAAGAAAACAACAGUGAUUCCCUGAGUAGCGGCGAGCGAAAGGGGAGAAGCCCAAACCGGUUGAAGGACCGGGGUUGAAGGACCAUGACAUGGCAAGAACGAGGAUAGGAGAACGGGAUCGAAAGCCCGGCCGAAGAAGGUGAAAGCCCUGUAACCGAAAUCCGAGUAAAGCCUAAUGGGAUCCUGAGUACGGCGAGACACGAGAAAUCUUGUCGGAAGCAGGCGGGACCAUCCGCCAAGGCUAAAUAUAAACGAGUGAGCGAUAGUGAACCAGUACCGUGAGGGAAAGGUGAAAAGAACCGCGGGAGCGGAGUGAAAGAGAACCUGAAACCGUAUGCCUACAAGAAGUCAGAGCCCGUUAAGGGGUGAUGGCGUGCCUUUUGUAGAAUGAACCGGCGAGUUGCGACAGACUGCGAGGUUAAGGAGGAAAGACCGGAGCCGAAGCGAAAGCGAGUCUUAAGAGGGCGAAAGUAGGAUGUUGCAGACCCGAAACCGGGUGAUCUAGCCAUGAGCAGGUUGAAGUUGAGGUGAAACUCAAUGGAGGACCGAACCGACUACCGUUGAAAAGUUAGCGGAUGACUUGUGGCUAGGGGAGAAAUUCCAAUCGAACCCGGAGAUAGCUGGUUCUCCCCGAAAUAGCUUUAGGGCUAGCGUCGGAAAGAACCUUAGUGAAGGUAGAGCACUGAAUGUGUGAUGGCCCCAUCCCGGGGUACUGAAUACAAUCAAACUGCGAAUGUCAUUAAGGAUGUCCGGCAGUCAGACUGUGAGUGAUAAGGUCCAUGGUCAAGAGGGAAACAGCCCAGACCGCCAGUUAAGGUCCCAAAAUACAGGCUAAGUGGAAAAGGAUGUGGGGAUGCCCAGACAACUAGGAGGUUGGCUCAGAAGCAGCCAUCCUUUAAAGAGUGCGUAACAGCUCACUAGUCGAGUGACCCUGCGCCGAAAAUGUACCGGGGCUAAGCCUGAUACCGAAACUGCGGAUUGUAGGAAACUAUAGUGGUAGGGGAGCGUUGUAUACGAGCAGAAGCCGUACCGUGAGGAGCGGUGGAUUGUAUAGAAGUGAGAAUGCCGGUGUGAGUAGCGAGAUGUAGGUGAGAAUCCUACACACCGAAAGCCCAAGGAUUCCAGGGGAAGGUUCGUCCGCCCUGGGUAAGUCGGGACCUAACGCGAGGCCGAAAGGCGUAGUGGAUGGAAAGCAGGCGAAAGAUUCCUGCACCCGUAUAUGGAGCGAAGGAGUGACGGAGACGGAUAGUGUGACCCUCUUAAUGGAUUGAGGGCGAAGCGAAGCGGCUGGUUACCAGGCAAAUCCGGUAACCAUAAGGCUAGAGCGUGACAGGUAAGCGAAAUCUUAGGAAAGUAGCGAAGCACAUGAUGACGGCUUCCAGGAAAAGCUUCUGGCAAUGCAUAUGCGGCCCGUACCAAAACCGACACAGGUGGGCAGGGAGAGAAUCCCGAGGUGAGCGAGAGAACUGUUGCCAAGGAACUCGGCAAAAUGACUCCGUAAGUUAGCGAGAAGGAGUGCUUAAGCAAUUAAGCCGCAGUGAAGAGGCCCAAGCGACUGUUUAACUAAAACACAGCUCUCUGCGAAGUCGCAAGACGAAGUAUAGGGGGUGACACCUGCCCGGUGCUGGAAGGUUAAGAGGAUCUGUUAAGAGCGAUCUGAAGCAGUGAUCCGAAGCCCCAGUGAACGGCGGCCGUAACUAUAACGGUCCUAAGGUAGCGAAAUUCCUUGUCAGGUAAGUUCUGACCCGCACGAAAGGUGUAACGAUUUGGGCGCUGUCUCGGCAGCAGACUCGGUGAAAUCUUAGUACCUGUGAAAAUGCAGGUUACCCGCAACUAGACGGAAAGACCCCAUGGAGCUUUACUGCAGCCUGAUAUUGAAUUCUGGUCAUACAUGUACAGGAUAGGUGGGAGACAAAGAGACGUGCACGCCAGUGUACGAGGAGUCGACGUUGGGAUACCACUCUUGUGUGACCGGGGUUCUAACCUGGUAUCGAGAACAGGUACGGGGAGAGUGUCAGGUGGGCAGUUUGACUGGGGCGGUCGCCUCCCAAAGAGUAACGGAGGCGCCCAAAGGUACGCUCAGAUUGGAUGGAAACCAAUCGUCGAGUGCAAUUGCAGAAGCGUGCUUGACUGUGAGACAGACAAGUCGAACAGGGACGAAAGUCGGGAAUAGUGAUCCGGCGGUGCCGAAUGGAAGGGCCGUCGCUCAACGGAUAAAAGCUACCCUGGGGAUAACAGGCU